rnacentral:lncRNA from 1 species
AUGCACUACAAACCUGCAUGCAUUGAACUCUUCCACCAUUGCUAGCAAUGGAGGUAAUGUCAAGGUUUUGUUUCCUGGUAACAGGGAAGGAGGAGGCGGACUUGAGGCCAGUGAAGGGUGCAACCAUGCUGGCUUGAGCAGCAUUAGCGCCGGUCGCAACAGCAGCUGCUGAGGACAUAACUGAGGAAGCCAUUUCUGAAAUAAUUUCUAAGCUUAAAGCUAUUGCUACCCUUGACCU